rnacentral:rRNA from 1 species
AACGAACGCUGGCGGCAUGCCUAACACAUGCAAGUCGAACGAGACCUUCGGGUCUAGUGGCGCACGGGUGCGUAACGCGUGGGAACCUGCCCUUAGGUUCGGAAUAACUCCCCGAAAGGGGUGCUAAUACCGGAUAAUGUCUUCGGACCAAAGAUUUAUCGCCUUUGGAUGGGCCCGCGUUGGAUUAGCUAGUUGGUAGGGUAAAAGCCUACCAAGGCGACGAUCCAUAGCUGGUCUGAGAGGAUGAUCAGCCACACUGGGACUGAGACACGGCCCAGACUCCUACGGGAGGCAGGAGUGGGGAAUAUAGGACAAUGGGCGAAGGGCUGAUCCAGCAAUGCCGCGUGAGUGAUGAAGGCCUUAGGGUUGUAAAGCUCUCUUACCCGGGAUGAUAAUGACGGUACCGGAAGAAUAAGCACCGGCUAACUCCGUG